CACCAUCAUUGAGAUCGAAUGCUGUUAUACAACCUUGAACGUGUCCCCUCAGUGACUCAGAGACCUGCCCGUGUCUCAGUGGCAACCUCUUUGUUUGAAAUAGUAACGUGCUUUGCCCUGGAUGGUUAUAAUAAUGGAGUUUAAAUUGGUGGACACAGAUGCUAUGAUUUUCACUAGGCCGUUAUCCUUGCGUGGAGAUUUGAAGAACCCAUUCAAGACACAUUUCAGGUCUAUGCAGGAAGGUGGCGGAGACUGCAGAUGCCCUGAUUUAUCUUGGCUCUCACGCCAGCUUCUUCCCUCUCCCAUCCAUUCUUCACCCUGCUUGAGAGAGUCGUCGUUCUCCAACACCAAUCUGAUCACGUUUCUUCCCUGCUUAAAUUCUCCUAUGGCUCUCAACGGCCAUCAGACUUGGGUAAAGUCUGGAAUCCUCAACGAGGCUGAAAGCUGUCUUUGUUUGGCCACAUUUCCUCCAGCCCCACUCCUGCUGUUGACCCAGGGCCAUUCUCUGUGUCCCAAGUGCUCGGCUCAUGGGUGCCUGUGGGCUUCACUAAUGCUGUGCCUGCAGCCGGCAACCCCCUCCCCAUCUCUCCUGUGACUGAUCCCAGGGUCUUCAUGACCCUCACUCUGCUAGGCCUUCUGGCCACAGAGCAGAAGUCAUCGUGUCUCCUUCCUGCUCCGGAGUGGAGUGCUGUUCCCUCACGCUCAGCACGCCCUUCACCUCCCUGACCGAGUGAGCCUUCCAUAGUGGCUUUGGGUUUUCAGUCUUUCAUUUCUCUCUUAAUCGCUGGCACAUUACCUAGCACCUACCAGGCUCUCAACACAUGUUCAUGGAAUCAAUGAACUUAAAGAAGACUAAAGAUGCAAAAUACUUCGUGGGUCUUAUGCCUUUCAAAUGGCUGUUCAGAAAUUGGUUGGAACAUGGAAACCAUUACCAUAGAAACACGCCUAGGUUAAACUGGAAAUUUCAAGGUUGCAAAGUGUGACUCUAGAGCUCACGGUUUGCCCCUCAAAGCCAGUUUAACCUAGGAAAGGACAGGAUCACCUUCUCCACCAAUGGAGAUACGCUAAACAUGGGAAGGCAAGCCCCUAGUGCUUUGGGGCAUGCAGGGCACUCCUGGGCUCUUUCCUUAAAUAAAAGUCUCUGAAACAAAAUUC
rnacentral:lncRNA from 1 species